rnacentral:lncRNA from 13 species
GGCAUAGUUAUCUUCAGGAUUGCCCUCACUUUAGACACUGGUUGCAAGCUCUGAGGUCCCCCAGUCAUCCACACUUCUAACUAGCUACAAAGUCAGUAGUGUCCAUGGCUCUUUCAGGUUCAAUAACUCAGUAGAAUAACUCACAUAACUCAGGAAAGCACUUUAUUUACAAUUCAUUUUAUUAUAAAAGAUACAACUCAAAACUAGCCAAAAGAAGUACAGUGUACACUGCUCAGGUGAUUGGUGCACUAAAAUCUCAGAAAUCACCACAAAAGAACUUAUGCAUGUAAUCAAAAACCACGUGUACCCUGAAAACUAUUAAAAUAAAAAUCAUUUGCAUUGUAACAACAGCAACAAAAGAACUAUCUCAAAGAAGAGACGCAUAGAAAAAGCUACCAUGAGUGAGGCUGCAAGCCUAGCCCUGGGUACCAAGGAUGGUGAUUGGCAGGCAGCUGCAGGAGCUGUGUGCAGACUGUGCAUGCAACAGUGGGAAUUAUAUGCAAGCUGAGAGCGGAAAGUCAUUUAGCAGUGGAAGCAGCAGAUGGAGUCUUACUCUGUCGCCCAGGCUGGAGUGAGUGGCGCAAUCUCAGCUCUUCCUGCAACUCCUACCUCCUGAAUUCAAGCAAUUCUCUGCCUCAGUCUCCUGAGUAGCUGGGAUUAUAGGCACCCACGACGACACCCAGCUCUUUUGUAUUUUUAGUAGAGUUGGGGUUUCACCAUCUUGGCCAGGCUAGUCUUGAACUCCUGACCUCACGAUCUACCCGCCUAAGCCUCCCAAAGUGCUGGAAUUACAGGCAUGAGCCACUGUGCCCAGAAAAUGUCAGUAUCGUGUGUUUGGUGUCCUCCUCUCCACAAACACACGAAAAACAUAAUUACUAAACCAAUUCUGCAUAUAAUUGUCCAAUUUUUCAAGACAUGGAAAUGAGGUGUAUUGAGUCCACCUGUGCUGGGUCUCCCUGUGUCCCUUCUGAGAGAGAAAUGGGGGAGGUGUUAAAUGAUGGGCAACCUCCAAAGGGAAUUUGAAACAGGCCAGCAGCCUUCUUCUGAGUUGGGAAGGCCUGUUGUGUAGGCACAGCAGGUCAGCUUGCUCGCCCUCCAUCCUGCCCUUUUUCUAGGCUGUCUUCCUGCACUGCAAGGGCUGGAAAGCUAAGGACUACAUUCCUCAGACUUCUGUCUAGUGAUUCUUCUACAUGUGAAUUAAGCUCUUUUUUUAAAAAUUAAAUUAAUG